rnacentral:rRNA from 1 species
AUUGAACGCUGGCGGCAGGCCUAACCCAUGCAAGUCGAACGAGUGGCGGACGGGUGAGUACUGUAUUGGCAACUGCCUGAUGGAGGGGGAUAACUACUGGAAACGGUAGCUAAUACCGCAUACCAUCAGAUCUGCCCAGAUGGGAUUAGCUUGUCGGGGGGGUAACGGCUCACCAAGGCGACGAUCCCUAGCUGGUCUGAGAGGAUGACCAGCCACAAUGGAACUGAGACACGGACCAGACUCCUACGGGAGGCAGCAGUGGGGAAUAUUGGACAAUGGGCGAAAGCCUGAUGCAGCCAUGCCGCGUGUAUGAAGAAGGCCUUCGGGUUGUAAAGUACUUUCAGCGGGGAGGCGUUACCCGCAGAAGAAGCACCGGCUAACUCCGUGCCAGCAGCCGCGGUAAUAC